UACGGAGGGUGCAAGUGUUAUUCGGAAUCACUGGGCGUAAAGAGCACGUAGGCGGAUAGGCAAGUCAGGUGUGAAAGCCCGGAGCUCAACUCCGGAAUUGCAUUUGAUACUGCUUGUCUUGAGUGAGGUAGAGGGGGGUGGAAUUCCCGGUGUAGAGGUGAAAUUCGUAGAUAUCGGGAGGAACACCAGAGGCGAAGGCGACCCCCUGGGCCUCUACUGACGCUGAGGUGCGAAAGCGUGGGGAGCAAACAGGAUUAGAAACCCGAGUAGUCC
rnacentral:rRNA from 1 species